rnacentral:rRNA from 1 species
AUUGAACGCUGGCGGCAGGCCUAACACAUGCAAGUCGAGCGAGCGGCGGACGGGUGAGUAAUGUCUGGGAAACUGCCUGAUGGAGGGGGAUAACUACUGGAAACGGUAGCUAAUACCGCAUACCAUCAGAUGUUCCCAGAUGGGAUUAGCUAGGAGGUGGGGUAAUGGCUCACCUAGGCGACGCUCCCUAGCUAGUCUGAGAGGAUGACCAGCCACACGGGAACGGAGACACGGUCCAGAAUAAGACGGGAGGCAGCAGUGGGGAAUAUUGCACAAUGGGCGCAAGACUGAUGCAGACAUGCCGCGUGUGGGAAGAAGGCCUUCGGGUUUUAAAGCACUUUCAGCGAAGAGGCGUUGCCCGCAGAAGAAGCACCGGCUAACUCCGUGCCAGCAGCCGCGGUAAUUC